CCCUUCCUACGAAUUGCAGUCCCAUCCAUUCGAAACCCUUUUUCUUUUGGCUUCUUCGUGACUCUGUGGGAUGGAUGAAAGGAUGGAUGAAAGGAAGGAAGAGGAUGAUAAUAUAAUAUUUCUCUGGGCCGGGAAAGCCUGAUUGAUACGUUCUAUUCUUAUUUGUCCACCAAUGUCGCCACCACUCUCGACUUGACCCUUAUUGACAGGCCAUCACGCCCGACAGAGGAGCGAUAUUUGAGGAAGCUCAGGCCAGCCCGAAAGCCAGCAGCAAGACAUGAACGGGAUCUGGCCAAUCAUGCGAAGCGGAUAUCCGGGGGUUGUGGCACUGCGAGGUUCUCAACAAUUUUGUAUGUGCUGUGUGCUCCGCUCAGAAGUCAAGAGAAGAAUGUAAGAAAUACGGUGUGCCGGUGAUAAAGAGACACUAAACGCCCACCCUGCCAAAUUAUGUGUGAUGUCCAGCGCAAGCGCUGUCUAGAAAAGUAUGAAAGAAUUUCGCAAUAAUUAUGGCAUACAUUUUUGUUUGGCCCGAGUUUUCUCAUUCUGGCCUAGACCCGAGGGAAGUAAAGAGACCGUUUUUAUUUUUUGCGUAUCAUAAUGGCUUGUCGGGCCGAUGAACAGGCAAGCUGGAAGAGGAUUGAACUGAUGAACAGACAGAACCCCCAGACCCUUUCUGGAGCCAAAAGGUAACUAAGUAGUCAAGAGACCCUGACUUUUAACCUGACAGUGCUGCGCACGCGCAUCUUUGAGAGCACGAAGAACCCAUCACACACAGCUGGCGUGAUCAGCAGGGUGAAACCACAUAAACUAUCCAGCCAGCUCAACAAUCAGCAAAUAAUGAUAUCCAACGAACCAGACGCUGGCAAUGCUCAUGAGGUGUAUGCCGUCAUUUAUCCCCUACCGACGGUUAUUGUAUUAUUGUAGAUGUCACUAAGAUGGGGUGGGAGGAAGCGUGUUUGGUGCUUGAUGUUUUUCCCAUUGUUAUUGCCCGCUCUGUCGCAUAUUUUCCGCUCUAGGAGGCUGUCGCUACUAGUACUGAUUGAUUGAUGGCGGAGUGGGCGUUCUAGAAUAGGAAAAACACCUUCAGAUGACAACCUUGGAAGCGAUAAAUUUUAUUUUUGUUUCGUUGUGGUCUCUCUUUCUUAUUUCUAUUUUCCUUCUCUUCUCUUUUCUCCCGAAGACAAGUGCGCGGAUUGGCUGGGUACACUACAGUUUACAUUUUGUGGGGUUUAUUUAUUUUGCGACUUGUCACGGACUCUAACAAAUGAACUAUUAUUGGGGCUGAAACGGAUUAUUCGUCGAGGAGGCGACUAUUUCUUGGUGGUGAUUUGACCGGAUUUGACUUGGCAGUAGUGAUGAUGCGUAUCAUUUUGUGGCCCGGUGUGGGCGGACGGCAAUGCUAGCGAAUUAAGGCAUCAAGAACUCGAUUCAAACACCCAUUUUCUUCGACAUAAUUCAUCAUCGAAAUAGCUUGUCUCAUCUUUGAUGGCAUUUUGUGCAG
rnacentral:sRNA from 1 species